GGAAGUAAAAGUCUAACAAGGUUUCCGUAGGUGAACCUGCGGAAGGAUCAUUAUUGAAUGAAACACUUCUGGCUUUAUGCUGUUGUGCUGGCCCUUUGGGCAAUGUGCACACGGCUCUGGUCACUUGUUUCUUCUGUUCCACCUGUGCACUGCCUGUAGACACGCUGUGUCUAUGAUAUUUGUUAACACACAACAAUGUUAGUUGGCAUGUUAUAUAUAAUAAUAAAAUAUACAACUUUCAACAACGGAUCUCUUGGCUCUC
rnacentral:misc_RNA from 1 species